GCGAUGGUUGAGCAUGACCCGGUUGUAGUUGGUGACCUGGAAAGGGAUAUAUACAUUAACUAUGCAUUUUAAUCUUUUUAUUUUCAGUUACCUGGGUUUUUCCGUUGGGCGGAUCCUGGACUCCUUGCGUCGAUGGUGGAGGAGAUGGUGGCUGCAGCUGGGGGACCUUGACACUGAGUGUGGUGCAGGGAGAGUCGUGGCUGGGAGAUCUCUUGAGGGCUCCCAGUUGGCGUCUUGGAAUGGUGGAUCCGCCGUCGACGG